rnacentral:rRNA from 1 species
AUGGCUUCCGUCGCCUUUUUCUCGCUGCUGCUUCUCUCCGCCGCCGUAGCUCCUCCGGCUCUUGGCUUCACGCGGAGCGACUUCCCGCCGGACUUCGUCUUCGGCGCCGCCACCUCCGCGUACCAGGGGGCUGUUGCUGAGGAUGGCAGGAGCCCAAGCAUCUGGGACACCUUCACUCAUGCAUGUAAGAGCAACUUCAAUGGGGCGACCCAUUUCAUCCGCGGCCGUUCGUUUGGGUCGGCGUGGACAGAAAAGGCGGCCCAACGCGCCGACUCAAACGGACGCACGUCCGUUUUUCGUCCGCGGGCGACCCAUUCCCGGCCCAUUUUUGAUCCUGAUUUGCGUCGGCGCGGACACGUGACGGACGUGCGCGCGGUCGCCUACUCCUGUCCCUGGGCCCGCUGGUCUGUGACACAUUGGCCUCCCUCCCCCAGGCCAACAAGCAACCCUCGCCCCCCGCCUCCUCCGCCACCGACGCCGCCGCCCAUUUUUGCGGCGACUCUUCCAGCUGCCGCCGCCUCCACAUCCGCCCAGCAACGCCGCCCCUGCCCCCAGUCGCCCGCCGCCGCCGUUUUACCGCCGGGGAGCAAACUGGUUCCCGCCGCCGCUUCCCCCACUGCACAGACGCCCGCGACCAAGAAGACGCCUCGCCACCCCCGCCACAUACGACCGGCACGCUUGUCGGAUGCUGUCACACUCGUCGGACGCCGGCAGGGCAGCUAG